rnacentral:rRNA from 1 species
AACUCUAUACUUUCUAUUGGGAAUUUGACCGGAAUAAUUGGAACAUCGCUAAGAAUGUUAAUUCGAGCUGAAUUAGGAAACCCAGGAAGACUAAUUAUAAAUGAUCAAAUUUAUAAUGUUAUUGUAACAGCUCAUGCUUUUAUUAUAAUUUUCUUUAUAGUUAUACCAAUUAUAAUUGGAGGAUUUGGUAAUUGAUUAGUACCUUUAAUACUAGGGGCACCUGAUAUGGCAUUUCCACGCAUAAAUAAUAUAAGAUUUUGAUUAUUACCGCCUUCUUUAAUUCUCCUUCUUAUAAGAAGAAUAGUAGAAAGAGGGGCUGGAACAGGAUGAACUGUUUACCCACCCCUUUCAGGUAAUAUCGCCCAUAGAGGGCCAUCUGUAGACUUGGCUAUUUUCAGCCUUCAUUUAGCUGGAAUUUCUUCUAUUUUAGGUGCAGUAAAUUUUAUUACAACUAUCAUUAAUAUACGUUCUCCUGGGAUAACUUUCGAUAAAAUGCCAUUAUUUGUAUGAUCUGUCGCAAUUACGGCUUUACUAUUACUUUUAUCUCUUCCUGUACUAGCAGGAGCUAUUACUAUACUUUUAACAGAUCGUAAUUUAAACACAUCGUUUUUUGACCCUGCGGGAGGAGGGGAUCCUAUUCUAUAUCAACACUUAUUUGAAAAGAACUUUGAAGAGAGAGUUCAAGAGUACGUGAAACCGUUCAGGGGUAAACCUGAGAAGCCCGAAAGUUCGAAUAGGGAGAUUCAUCGAGCUCGUUGCGCUGGCGGCUCGGCGUAUCGGUGACGAUGUGCGGUGGCGUUCGCUUCGGCGUUUGUCUAUUGCCGUUGCACCGUGCGUCAGCAUAUACACGUACGAGCGCGUGCACUUCUUCCUUAGUAGGACGUCGCGACUCAUUGGGUGCUGGCCUACGGCCCAGUGUGGAGCCUGCAGCGGGCGUUCCGACGUUUCGCUGUAGACCAUUGGUGUCCUGGCUGGCUCGCUCGAUGGAAGACUAUGUGGCGCAGGGUCGCGAUUCGUCGCGCGUCCGGCCCAUUGCAAGGUGGCUGGCGGCCAGAACUGUUUACCAGUUAGUUUGGUCUCGGACCUAGUGCCGAACCGGACUCCGCCGCACUGUUGGCAGUGGUGUCCUCGGACAGACCUUGAUAAACGCCCGUCUGCGACGCUAUUGCUUUGGGCAAUUUCAGGGCCCGUCUUGAAACACGGACCAAGGAGUCUAGCAUGUGCGCAAGUCAUUGGGACAUUAAGCGAAACCUAAAGGCGAAAUGAAAGUGAAUUCGUAUCACUUGUGAUCGAAUAGGGAGGAUGGUCAGGCUCAAGGACUUGACCCGCACUCCCGGGGCGUCUCGUGUUCAUUGCGAACUGAGGCGCACCUAGAGCGUAAACGCUAG